rnacentral:rRNA from 1 species
AGAGUUUGAUCAUGGCUCAGAAUCAACGCUGGCGGCGUGCCUCAGACAUGCAAGUCGAACGAUUAAACUUCCCUUCGGGGAAGAUAUAAAGUGGCGCACGGGUGAGUAACACGUAGGUAAUGUGCCUUUGGGUGGGGAAUAACUUAGGGAAACUUAAGCUAAUACCGCAUAAUGCAGCGGCUCCUUCGGGAGACAGUUGUUAAAGAUUUAUCGCCUAAAGAGCAGCCUGCGGCAGAUUAGCUAGUUGGUAAGGUAACGGCUUACCAAGGCUACGAUCUGUAUCCGACCUGAGAGGGUGGUCGGACACACUGACACUGAAUAACGGGUCAGACUCCUACGGGAGGCAGCAGUCGGGAAUUUUGGGCAAUGGGCGAAAGCCUGACCCAGCAACGCCGCGUGAAGGAUGAAGUAUUUCGGUAUGUAAACUUCGAAAGAAUGGGAAGAAUAAAUGACGGUACCAUUUAUAAGGUCCGGCUAACUACGUGCCAGCAGCCGCGGUAAUACGUAGGGACCAAGCGUUGUUCGGAUUUACUGGGCGUAAAGGGCGCGUAGGCGGCGUGUUAAGUCAGCUGUGAAAUCUCCGAGCUUAACUCGGAACGGUCAGCUGAUACUGAUGUGCUAGAGUGCAGAAGGGGCAAUCGGAAUUCUUGGUGUAGCGGUGAAAUGCGUAGAUAUCAAGAGGAACACCUGAGGUGAAGACGGGUUGCUGGGCUGACACUGACGCUGAGGCGCGAAAGCUAGGGUAGCAAACGGGAUUAGAUACCCCAGUAGUCC